rnacentral:rRNA from 1 species
UACGAAGGGGGCUAGCGUUGUUCGGAAUUACUGGGCGUAAAGCGCGCGCAGGCGGUCUUCCAAGUCAGUGGUGAAAGCCCGGAGCUCAACUCCGGAACUGCCAUUGAAACUGUUAGACUUGGGGAUGAGAGAGGUGAGUGGAAUUCCCAGUGUAGAGGUGAAAUUCGUAGAUAUCGAGAGGAACACCGGUGGCGAAGGCGGCCAACUGGACAGAUACUGACGCUGAGACACGAAAGCGUGGGGAGCAAACAGG